rnacentral:lncRNA from 1 species
GCUGUGGCCGCACAUGCCCUGGCCUUACAUGGCAGAAGGAGCAUGAGUGGAGAUAGCUUACACCUCAGGAAUCACACACAGCAUCCUACAUUUGGCCGUAUUUUCCCUUCAAAAGAAGCACUGAGAGGGAAAAACUGAUUUACAUGGAAGGACUGAAGAGGCAUCGGAUCAGCAGUAAAAGCUGUUCUUGCAGAGGACCGGAGUUGUGUUCCCAGCAUCUACAGGGUGGCUCAAAAAUCACCUGUAACUCCAGUCUCAGGGGACCUGAUGCCUUCCUCUGACCUCUUUAGGCACAAGACAUAUAUGUGAUACAUAGAUGUAUAUUCAGGAAAAACACUCAUACAUGCAAAAAUAAAAACAAAUUAUCAAAACAUG